GGCCGCAGUGCAUUCUGGUCGCUGUAGUUCCUCAAGGGAUAAGAGCAGGAAUGAGGGGAAGGGGAGACAGAGGGAGUCCAUGGAGGCGUAAGAGUACAAGAGCAGGUCAUGCAUAAUGAGUUAUAAACAAUGCAACUGGAAACUGGGCAAGAAAUUUCACUGAGCAUGCCCCGUGAUGAGGACAUACCAAGUAGAGACGAGACACUUCACAUCAAGGAAUCAGUGAAAGUAUUGAAGAUUCAGACACUUCAAGCUUCUCAUAAAUUCCAGGUAGUUGGAGCAUUAGCAGAGACUAGCACUGAAUUGUUGGACUGUUCACCUUUUUAUUCUAUGAACAAUACGUGGAGUGGGGUCAAGAGAAGAGAAAAUGCACUGAGAAAUAGGAAUAAAAGCAUUCUGGUUGGAUCAUUUAUGAUAUCUUUGUCCACAUCCUCUCACAAGAUAUAAAAGUAAAGUAUACAACGUUAAGUGAAAAAUGUUCAAAAUUAAUUCCUGAACAUUCUUUGCCAUGAUGGGGUAGAUAGUUAUUUGUGACUGUUUGAACAUUUCGGUUAGUCUGUAUAAAACAAAUAGAUCUUACAUGAAAAUGAGCAUUAAAUUUUUACUUUAAAGGAUUAAUAAAUUAUUUUUAAAAAACACAAA